UAUAUAUGCUGGUUCAAACACUAAAUAACGUUUAUAAAUCAUAGUCGUCUUCUAUUAUUAUCAAAUAAAUAAAAGAGAGCAAAGUUUCUAGCACUAAAAUAAUGACCACCACAGGAAGUUAAUUUGAAACGCGAUUUUUUAUAAGUUAACAGCUAUUAUCAUGCAUAUUCAGAGUUGUUUUGUGAACUUUCAACAUUCUACUAUUAAACUACAAAAAAUGGAAGAUUUUGCAACGAAUAUAAAACUUAUAUUGAGCGUCGAAAGAUUUUCCCGGUUUUUUCCCGAUUCGCCUGUCAAUCCCUAAUCGCCCCAUUUUACCGGUACUCGAUAAGCGCCUUUGCAUUUUAACAUUAUAACAAUAUAAUCAAAUUACUAUCUUCAGUUGACUAAAUCUUUUUUUAAGAGCGACAAAUAAAAACAACAAACAAUAAGUUAAAAUGAGUAGAAUGAGGAAACGUAACAUAAAAACGGAAGAUCCCGAGCCCUCCACGUCCACUCGAAUACAACAAGAACACGACUUGGCGUAUUAUAUUCACGAUAGAGUGGAACUGAUGCAUCAGAUUUUCAGCGUCUUAAAACCGAAAGAAUUAAAGGCAAUGGCUCCGGAUUGUGUCAGAAACGUAUCUAUUGAUGAUUUACAGGAGCUCUGCACGGAGGAGCUUUUAGGAAUCAGUUCGAAACGCCUAUUAGCCAUCUUGGAUGGAGCAGAGCCUCCAUCCGACACGGAGUCCUCCAGCAGGUCUCCAUCACCACAGCUUGAGACCAUAUCUCUGGACAGCAUAUCUUCAGAUGAGGAGAUACUGAAUGAAGAUCAACAUAAGAAAAAAAAGCACAAACAUCAUAGAAAGAAUUCAAAAUUGAGGUUGAAAGAUAGAAAGAAACAUAAAGGUAAGAAGAGUGAAGAUGUGGAGCAGUCUGCAGCCUCUAGAGCGGGACUCACUGUGUUGGAGCUGCUGGAGUUACAGGCGCGAGCCAGGGCUAUCCGGGCGCAGCUGCAGCAAGAACGGGAGACAAUGGAACAUGUGGAAACAUCUCAAACGGUGUGCAACUCAUCAGACAACGAAGUGGAAAUCAAAGAGGAGCCUCCAGAAGUGUUAGUCAUCAGUAGCGAGGAUGAGAAGCCGGAUAUCCAAGAGCUACAGAAACAUCCAGAACUCGCAAAGAACACUCCAGAAGAAGCAGUCGAGGCGAUAGGCGAGUCGCCCGCGCCCCAGGAGUCAGCAGUAGUCACGAAGCGAUGCAACGACCUCAUUAUAAAAGUACCUCAGAAGACGCACACGAGAAAAAUCAAACUAAAACGAAACAAAAUAACGGCUUCUGUUCAGAGCGAAAGUGUUGCCAGUACAGCGAGCAUAAGUGUUGCCACAACCGAGAAACGGAAGAAGAAAAAGAAGAAACGCGACAAGCAAACAUACAACAUUGACAAUGAUGAAAUUACAUUGCAAUUGUCGGAUUCAGAGAAGAUGGACUUGUUACAGGACCUAGAGAAGAAACACGGCGUUGCCAGUGAAACUGAUAGUGACAGCUCGGAGGAUAUGACCAAAGAGGCCAACAACGGCACGGCAUUACAAAAUGAUAAGGUUACUGAGGACGCUUUAGUAAAUACAAGUGAGUGUGUCGUGAAUGCAGACACAGAAUCUUCUGACAAGGGAGAAGGAUCAAUAGAAGAAGGUGAGAUCGUCACUGACAAUUGUAAGGAUGAUACAGAAAUUUGUGAAUCGGUAGAAAGUGCUGGUGAUAGGGUAAUAGAAGUUAACGAUUUACCUGUGAGCCAAAAUAAUCCUGAGACUGUGGAUUUGAAUCAACAACAUUCAGAACGUACCCAGCUCAAUGACAAACCCAAUCUAGUUUACGGGAGCCCUGAGAAAACAGACUCAUUAUCCACGAAUACUGAAGUUGCUAAACAAACACAAGAUUCCGAAGAAAUUAUAGAGGAAACUGUCUGUAUAUCAGACGAUGAAAGCACAAACGAUGUAAUACAAAUUAUAGAUGAAGUAGAACUGUCUGAUGAUUCUUGCAGUGAAGUCAGCUUGCUGUCAAAGGAGCCGACAGCCCAGGAAAUAGCUGCUUUGUCUGCUAGAAUAGAUGAAAUGGAUCAAAACGAUGUGGACGAUGAUGCAUCAGAACAACUCCUAAUGUCUUGGAAAGACAGAUACGUAGAGAGUGCUAAAGUUAAAAAAGUUUUGACCGUGUCGAACAUAUUUAACGCAUUGAGGAAAAAGAAUAUUGAUUUGAAGAAGAAAAUACAGGAGUGUGACAAACCCUCCGAAGAUGUUGUAGUUGAAAACAAAAUUGAAGACGGAACACUCGAGCAAUACAAUAACCUAGAGAGUACUGCUGGCAAGUUCAGCUCUGAGACCUUAGAUAAUGUUGUGGUUACCGCCAACAUGAAGAAAGAUGCUAAAGUCCUAUUGAAGAUGUACAAAAAGCUUCUGAAAUACAACGACAUGACACGGGUCAGUAAGAAGAAAAAGAAGAAAGACGUGUGAUCGAUAGGGCUGUGUCUGAGUUAUAAAUUUGAAGCUAACUUGAUGUGUAUUACUUGGUGCGCUGUUGUAUGUGUAUUUGUUUAAGUAAUAUGACAGUGGAAUGUUAAUAUGCUUUCGUGCUUACAUACAGACAUACAAAUAGGACAUUAAUUGUUUAGAGGUAUCGACACAAGGAAGAUCCUUCACAGAACAGGGACAAUUGCUGUGCAUACCGACAGUAUCUGUGUUGUUCUGAAUUUGUAUAUAUGUACACCGAUCAAGUGGAAGGGUGCCGAUGCAAUGGACCGACCAGAUCAAGUCGGCAGUUGGCGGCUGUUUGCAUGAGUGCACCAGGCUCACCACAAACCGGGAGGAGUGGCGAUCGCUCGUGAGGCGCAAUACAUCUGCCUACAACAAUGAUGCUGGAUGACGACCACGACCCCUCUGACAAGAGUGAUACGACAUACGAAAUACACUCAUCAAGGUAUAUAUUUUUGUUGUAAACUAUGUAAUUUGUAGUUCUUAAAUCAUUUCAACGGUCAAUGAAUAGCAUCUUAAAAAAACACUGCUAAUGUUGAUGUCUGUUGGCAGCUUCAUUUAACGAAACCAGAAGUGUAGGAACAGAUCACAUGUCCUGCCUUGGAGUUCUACAGCCCUAGGUUCAACAGUGGACUAUAAAAGACUCAAUAAUAACGAUGAAAAUAAAGGGCUGUGAGUUCAUUCACUCAUCUAGUGAUUCUAGUGCAUUAAGGAUGUUACCUGAGCAAGGAAGGGAGAUGCACUGCUGCUCACAUGUUCAGAGUCUGAGUUAUGAAGAAGGAAGAUGUUCACUGAGGAAUGUAAUUAUCUUGUAUAUAAUUACAUCGUUAACAUUAAGGAAUCAUUUAAAUGUAAUAGUGGAAGGCGAAGGUAUCCUAUCAUACCGCGUAAUCCUGAAUCGCGGUGAUGAGAUGUUACACAGUAGAUAUACGUUCUCGUAUUUCUCUUGCCAAAUCAUACUUACCUGGCAUAGAGGAUACCGUGAUCAUGCAGGCGGUUCCCUCAGGGCGAGGCUGCUCCAUUGCGCUGCGGAGUGGUUGACCCUUGCGAUUAUUUUUAUUUUUAUCAAUAAAAUAAUCACAAUAAAAAAUGUAUACCCGAAUAAUUAUUUUCUUUAUACCUCGAAUAGAACUUAAAAAAAAUGUGUGCGUGUACUAGUGUACACACGUAAGAAGUGAAACUUGUUUAUGGCCUUAUUUUUCGAAAAAUGAUCUACAUGCAACUUUCUAGAAAUUGGUUAAAUAAAGUUAAAUUAGAUAAAGUUUAAACAAAAGGAUUUUAUUAUCAUAGACAUGAAUACAAAAAAGUUAAAUUAGAUAAAGUUUAAACAAAAGGAUUUUAUUAUCAUAGACAUGAAUACAAAACAGAUGGCGCGUAACGGAAAAAAGUGACGCGUAACCGAAAAAUGUGACGGUAAAUUUUUUUCCAACGCCGAUAAGGAAGUUUCACUUCAAUUAAUAUUUUUAUAAUACGGAUCGUUCGUUCCUAUCCGGUGUCCCACGACACCACCCAUCUUUUUUUAUUUUAUUAAAUAGCAAACUCAAACAACACAUUUUUUAAUUUCAUCAUUCACAAUAGUAAUACAAGCUUCGUAAAAAAAUAUUUAUCACAACAUUGAAAUUAUAAAUAAAAUCAUGCCGAUCUCCAAUGAUACUCUUUGCUCAUGAUGAGCAGCGAGAGUAUGACGAUCAGUAUAAUAAGCGCCAGGCUGAUGCUCAACAGCACUACUGUGGUGAGAUUUCUCCCAACACAAGUGUUUUCGCCGUAAAUGCGUUCGUCCUGUGCCCUGGGAGAACUCUGUCUCGUUGAUUUGCUUGCUUGCAUAUUUUCACUACAAAAACAAUGUCAAAUUAAACGUCAUGUGUCAAAUAGCCGCUAGUGGUUUUUUUUCUCAUCACAGUCAAUGGAUCUCAAUUGAUACUAGUCACAAUAUGGUGUAGAUUAAAGGUCUUUGAAACCAGAAUGUAAAAUUACUUGGUUAAUUACACACGAUGGUAUCCAUGGAAAGAGUUAGAACAGACCCUAAUGCAAACUUACUAACGAUUGUCACGAAAACUCAAAUAAAUGCAUUCAUUCCGUAUGAUGUUACCAAUUUACAAAACCAUGACUUUAUUUCACGUAACGCUGUAGCGGUGUAAUUGUUUCAGCUUACCGCUUUAUAAUCCGCUAGUCAGUCACGCCCUACACUGCAAUUGUAAGUUCAGGAUCAGUGAAUCAAGUGUGAGGGUUAAUUUCGCAAUUACAUGUUCUAAAUGUGACCAUUUGAUGGUGCGCCACUACUCCAAAACCCCGGACACUUCCAAACGGUCAAUUUUCAAUUAAGCAAACCAUAGAUAAACAAACCUUCGAUACGUAUUCCACUUUCAGAAACGUCACGGUGACAACAAUGACAGCUGUCAGAGUGCCGACUGCCGCCACAGCGCCGAGCACGCGGAGCGCUCCGCCGGCGCCGCAAGAACGGAGGUCAAAGUUGCAAAGCGAUCGCCGACGCAAUACAGACGUGUCGGGUCGAUGACCUGCGCGCCGAAUAUCAAACUGACUUAUUAUUUCCGUUUGCGUAUCAUUAAGGAAGAGCGUUUAACUUAGUACUUUGUAUUAGCGGGUAAUUUCAGGAAGAGGACGCAAUCCCUCUUCACAUAGCACGCAACUGAAUUUUUAUUAGGCACUUUCUAAUCGUCAUAGCUUUAUCAAGGAUUCGGAACGUGGUAUGAAAGCUCUGAACAAUCAGCACGAGCCUCAGGGUCGGGGCUUGCACUAUUCCACUAUAGGUACAGUGCCCGGCGAUAAAUGUGGCACAUCGACUUCAAGAAAGAGACAGUCGGUUAAUUUCGGCUUCGUAGAGCGUCGUCUCUGUGGCACACCGCCUACAUAUUAUUAUGUGACCUUUGUCGGUCGUUGUUCAAAUGUUUACAGAGAUCGAUGUGUAAUGCAUAACGUCGGUAGCGGUAUGCGUACUGCUAGAUAAAACAGUAACUGUUGUAAAACAUCUACAAUGGUGCCUAGUGCUGCCAUCUAGGACGAAUGUAUGUAAAACUAAAAUAUAAAACUCACUUUCUGUAUAACACGAAACACCUUUUUUACUAAUAAAAACUAUACAAAAUUAUCAAAUUAAAAGAUAUCAAAAAUAGAUCUAGAAAUGUGUGCUUUGUGCGAGUUUUUUAACGUUCUCGACAGCGUAAAAGUAUGCAGUUGGAACAGCGCCCCUAGCGGCAAACGUAAGCAAACGUUCCAACUCAUUACAAAUUUGAGUUAACUUCUACGCUAUCGAGAACGUUAAAAAACUUGCACUACUAGUGUGGUUCCAGGAUCAUUCUCGCCACCCUCCGAUCUGACUGCAUCGCCUUCCCUGUGCGGUGUAUUAUGGUUUCAAAGCCUCGGAGAUUUGACUCGACACUUGGCGCGGUCGACGUGCGUGGGCAGCAGUGCCGUUAUGUAUAUUUGCCUUCGAAAAGACGCUACUCGACUUACGCUGCUGAAACCUGCAGCAGCACCAAGCAGCACCAAGAAUGAAACUUUAUUCUAGAAGUUUCGUAAGAACGGCAAGAUUAGUUCUAAAUUUAUUUUAGAUGUUUAGUUUUAUAUAAGGUUGCAUCGAUUAUAUUCUACCAAUUUAGUAGAAAGUUGUCAAAAUUAAUUUACUUACUAUCAACAGUGGCUGUGGGAACGGUAGGAGCGGCUCUGAAAUAAUCGAACUGGGGCAUUAAUUUUUUUUUGCUUUCCAGCACCUAAUCGGUUUUAAAAUAAAUUUUGUACUUUUAUGGCCCUGCACUGGUCAGCAGCGCCAUGUUGUUUAUUUUGUUGCAUGUGUUCCGGUCUGUAGAGCAGUUAUUAAAGCAUAACGGAGAUUACAUGCCUGCCUUUUUUGUUCCUACCUAUGCUGAUAGCCUUGACAGGCUAUUUCAGCUUCUCCUUGACGUGUAGGUGAGCUCACGGGGCUCAAACCGGGAGUGUUGCUAACACUGGUUCUAGCAAGAGCACUGCUUCGCAGAAGCUACCACCGGACCCACUGAGAAGAUCCGGUGAGAAACUCAGUGGGUAACAGAUUGCAGGCCUCAAAAUGGGUGGAGGUACUGACGUAUUGUGCCUAUGGGCUCCCAUAUCCCCUUAAUUCCAGGUCACGUUGUAUAUACUAGCUCACUAGUUUGUCUAUACACGCAAAAAAUGUUCAUAACAACUAUAAGCAAAAAUCCCUUUAGACGGAAGGCUGUUUAUCUUUUGAAAUGUUGUUUAUCUUUAUUUUUAUUUUUGAUUUUACACAUUACAGGGCCGAAUGUCUACUGACUUCAAUACCGUAUGGAGGCAAGCGAAAUAAAAAAACCUCCAAUGAAUUCGUCUAUACUAUAAUAUUAUAAAGAGGAAAGAUUUGUUUGUUUAUUUGUUUCGAAUAGGCUCCGAAACUACUGGACCGAUUUGAAAAAUUCUUUUUCCAUUAGAAGCCGACAUUGUCCCUGAUGAACAUAGGCUACUUUUUUUUAUUUUUUAUUUAUUUAUUUAUUUUUUUUGGUUUCAUGUGUGUUUUAAUGUUUCCGAAGCGAAGCGAGGGCGGGUCGCUAGUUGUUUAAUAAACUCACAAACUAUUUUGUACUCACUUUAUAAUUGAUGUCGUUGCAUUUUCAUUUUUCAUUCAACUUUACUAGUCCUUUACUAGAAAAAAAAACACACAAAAACCAAUCAUUCAAAGUUGACAGACAAACUCAGACAAGCUUAAUUAAUUUUAAGCAAUUCACAUCAAAGAGAAUAAUAUGAUGACGGCAAUAUCUAUUGCAUGCCAGAUCUAGAAUUUACGUGCUGAUUUUAAAAGAGGUUGUAUUUAAAAUAUAAUAUUUUAUGAUGUAAAGUUUUGAUGAUUACUUUUAUAAAAUAAAGUUCAAAGCUGCA